GAGCCCUAGAAAGCCCUAAACACCUAACCAGAUUUUUUUGAUAUUUCUUUAAAUUUUAUGUUAAAAUUAGAUCCAAUCUAAUUUAUAUACUAAAAAAAAUUUUAAAAAAGAAUCUGAGAGAAGAAAUCCUUCUUCUCCAAAGCUGCGUACUAAAAAGAAGACCUUUCUUCUUCCUUCUAUUUCUCUCAUUAGGAAGAACCUUUCUUCUUCAA
rnacentral:lncRNA from 1 species